UAAAAUAAAAAACUAAAUACUACCUAAGAUUGUCUCGUUUAAUAAAAGAAGGCCGAAGACGGUCCCUUCCUUCUUCCCUCUUCUCUUUUCUCUCUGCAAAAGCCAUUGAAACCUAAUGUAUGAAACCCAAAUUCUUCUUCCAAAUUCCCAAAUUAAAUCUUUCACUUUUGUUUAAUCACAAGAUGUGAACCUACUUUAUGAAACCCAAAAGCCCUAACACCAUUUGUAUUUUAAGAUUGUACUCAAAUAAGGAGUAGAAAGCAAUUUUUCCAACAAUAUCAUCGUGUAAAGCCCUUCUCGGUGUUGACGAUCUCUUUGCUGGGUAAGUUAUUUUUAUUGAAAUUCUAAACUUUUUGGUGAUUGCAUGUUUGGUAUUCCUCUCAAAAUUCUGAAAUGAGAUGUUGUGUGGUAUGGGUCUGUUAUUUUUCCUGAUAUUUUUCGACAAAAUUCCAUAGAGCAGUUUUUUACGCGAUUCUUUGUUGUGUGGUAUGCCCUAAGUUUCUUAUUUCUGAGAGUGAAAAAAACCACUGCCUUAUGGGUAGAUAUGAUACUGCUCUUGCUGCACAAACAAUUGAUUUUCUGCGCAAGAAAAUCUCUGCCUUAUGGGUUUUAGUUGUUGGACUUUUCAAGAGUUAUGUCUGUAACUCUUUUCUGAUACAUUGUGUGAUGCUUGGUAUUUUGAUAUGUAUUUUAAUUAGAAGGUUGCCCUAUUGCUUUUUAGAAUUAAAACCAAAAACUGCUCUUCUCUGUUCUCACAAAGCUCAAUUGAAGUAUAUUUGGGAAAUAUUUUGUUCUUCAUAGGCCUUCCGAACUAAAAUUAGUAGGUCCACACUGGUCAAGGCAAAAUCGUUAUUAGCAGAAUUAGGCUUAUUUUAUGCACAAAUAUAACACUAUGCUAGGAUAGAGAACAUACAGAGUUGAAACUGGCAGCGGUAGCCUCUUCAGUGUCAUCUUCAGGUAAAAUGCCAAUUUCAACAAGUUCCAGUAGCUCUUUCCUAGAUAUGUUCCAGUCUUGCUCCCUUUGUUCAUCAAAUUUCUACCAAAAAAGCUUGACGUUUUCCACUCCUUACUUUACAGUUCACGCUCAUAAACACUACUAUUUCUGAGCUGGUGCAGUAUAUUAUUAACUAAGUAUUUACUUUUAGCAUAAUCAAACUAAUGUUUUAAACAAUUUUCAGCUUGAAACGGGAAACGGGAAGAACAGAAAUUGAAUUUUAUGUUUAAUUAGUCUUUCCAGUUGGAAGGUUGGGGGCGCGAUUUUCUUUAGCUGCUUCAUAAAUAUCUCCUAUAAAUUCUAUUCCUAAAAACCGGCAAUCGUAGACUGCUUUUGUUUAUCUAUUAUGACGGAUGGAGGGCCCCAAAUCGAGUGGCGGCUGGUUGCCCUUUAAAUUAUGUAGGUAGAAGAAACUAUUAAAUAGAUAAUGAGUAGGUGAAUGAGGGCUGGAAGGAACGAUUGGAAGGAGAACACCAGGAAAGUUAUCUUUAAAAAAAAGAAAAGGAACAAGGCGAGAGUGGGAGGGCAUGAACGAGAAGAAUAGGUCAAUGAGAUAAUAAUCUGCGAGAGGUCAUCUGAUGUUGUUCGUGACAAGGAAAAAGAACUUGCUGUGGGAAUGUUAGCUGUUCUUUCUCCUGGAAACAUUAUCCACGUUACCUUGUAAAACACGUGUUGAUACAUAUAUGGACCAAGAAUAGCUAGUUUUAAUUAGGCGGCGACAACUAUUAUGCAUUUAUAGAUGAGCUUGAUACGGUUCAAGUUUAUGAAGAAUGAAAGAAUCCAGCCCCUUCUCCUCCUUGUCAUCAUCAUUUAUGUUUCUGUCGUAACACAUUGACUUGAUUUCUCGGGUUAAAAUGAGACGUGAGACGCAUUGAUGUUGGAGUUUUUUUUCCCUUCCAUUUGUCGCUUAUGUGAUCCGUGUAUCUGUUGAUUUAUUGUUUUGUCUGGCGUAUCUUUCUUCAGUUUUAUACAUUAAUGCAUUAACAAAUCCUGGGUCGACGGUGAGAGCACUGUUGGCUAUUAAGUGGUGCUUUAUAUGACCUUUAAAGUUAACUUAGGUAUAGAUAGACAAAGGAUCUGUGAAUGAAGCUAAUUAUAUCUAAUAUGUGAGUAUUACGGUUCAUUUUCUAUUUUACAAUUUGGAAAGUACUAAACAACAGUAGCACCUACUUUAGAAAGCUUACAAACUAUAUACGGUUAUUUUGUUUCAUUUGUGAAUUUUAGUGGGUGGCAGUCAUGUCAUUGUGGAAGUGAUCGUAGAAUACUUCAUUGAAUUUUGUUGAUAGUUUGUAUUUGCUAGCUCUUCUUUCUUCAGAAGAGCAUCUACAGAUGUAGAUCAAGAAACAGCUUUUACUUAUACUAUUAUUAGACUUCGUCUUAAGAGCUGCCAGUUGGAAGUGUUUUUGGGAUCAUCAUUUCCUUAUUUAUCACCAAUUGAAAUAUGAUAAUGAAACUAGAAAUUCUGGGGAACUAUAGGCUUCGUAUUAUAGGCUUAUCAUUUUUAAGCCCAUGGUUCAGUAUUAUUAUUGGUUGAUGAUGAUAUCAAAAUCAUACAACUCUUUCAUUCAUAACGUGUUAUUCCUGCAUUUCUUCUUCCUUUUUUGUUCUUUCCAGGGUUAGUCGGGGUUUCUUGCACACAGUCCCUAGAACCUCUUUGAUUAUAUUAGUAAUAGGUACCACCAAAUUAAUUACAACUGAUUUGUUCUCUUGAGCCGAGGGUCUUUCGGAAUCAGCCUCUCUACCCUUCGGGGUAGGGGUAAGGUCUGCGUACACACUACCCUCCCCAGACCCCAUUAGUGGGAUUUCACUGGGUUGUUGUUGUUGUUGUUGAUUUGAUGAGUCAUUUGCCAAUAUAGGGUUGGUAUGGUGCGUUUUAUGAACAGAAUGUGAUUAAAAUAGGUAUGUAAAAAUGAUAAUGGAGAAAUUGUGUGGUGGAUCCACAAUCCCAACAAAUUCAUGUAAUAUUCUUAAAUCACUGAGAUGAGUCGAAAGUUGCAAGAAGAACAUGAACAAAUGGAUGCCGAAUUAAAAAGUAACAUGGAACAAGAGUGCAAAGGAAGUUGGAAGAGAAACUUGAGCACGUGAAUACGGAAGUAGACAACCGGAUCAGUGUAGAAGUAGCCAAGAGGAUUCAAGAACAACUUGCUGCUAUCAUGACUGGAAUGCAACAGGGACAAGGUUCUUAAACAGUGGUGACAAUGAAGGAGGAGCUUGAAGCUAAGGCACUCAAUGUUUUACUUUUUGGUUAUAUAUGACAACGAAGUAUUACGUAGUAUAUAUAUGCGGAGGAACUUAAAGGUUAAGGCACUCAAUAUUUUGCUUUUUGGUUAUAUGUAUAUGCGUACAAUGAAAAUGAAGUAUUACAUAGUGUAUAUGCGGAGGAGCUUGAAGCUAAGGCACUCAAUAUCUUGCAUUUUGGUUAUAUGUAUAUGCGUACAAUGAAAAUGAAGUAUUGCAUAGUAUAUAUGUAAUUGAACUUUUAGUAAUGGAAGUGUUUAGUAUUUGGUUUAGGAAA